rnacentral:rRNA from 1 species
GAUGAACGCUGGCGGCGUGCCUAAUACAUGCAAGUCGAGCGAACGGACGAGAAGCUUGCUUCUCUGAUGUUAGCGGCGGACGGGUGAGUAACACGUGGAUAACCUACCUAUAAGACUGGGAUAACUUCGGGAAACCGGAGCUAAUACCGGAUGAUAUUUUGAACCGCAUGGUUCAAAAGUGAAAGACGGUCUUGCUGUCACUUAUAGAUGGAUCCGCGCUGCAUUAGCUAGUUGGUAAGGUAACGGCUUACCAAGGCAACGAUGCAUAGCCGACCUGAGAGGGUGAUCGGCCACACUGGAACUGAGACACGGUCCAGACUCCUACGGGAGGCAGCAGUAGGGAAUCUUCCGCAAUGGGCGAAAGCCUGACGGAGCAACGCCGCGUGAGUGAUGAAGGUCUUCGGAUCGUAAAACUCUGUUAUUAGGGAAGAACAUAUGUGUAAGUAACUGUGCACAUCUUGACGGUACCUAAUCAGAAAGCCACGGCUAACUACGUGCCAGCAGCCGCGGUAAUACGUAGGUGGCAAGCGUUAUCCGGAAUUAUUGGGCGUAAAGCGCGCGUAGGCGGUUUUUUAGUCUGAUGUGAAAGCCCACGGCUCAACCGUGGAGGGUCAUUGGAAACUGGAAAACUUGAGUGCAGAAGAGGAAAGUGGAAUUCCAUGUGUAGCGGUGAAAUGCGCAGAGAUAUGGAGGAACACCAGUGGCGAAGGCGACUUUCUGGUCUGUAACUGACGCUGAUGUGCGAAAGCGUGGGGAUCAAACAGGAUUAGAUACCCUGGUAGUCCACGCCGUAAACGAUGAGUGCUAAGUGUUAGGGGGUUUCCGCCCCUUAGUGCUGCAGCUAACGCAUUAAGCACUCCGCCUGGGGAGUACGACCGCAAGGUUGAAACUCAAAGGAAUUGACGGGGACCCGCACAAGCGGUGGAGCAUGUGGUUUAAUUCGAAGCAACGCGAAGAACCAUACCAAAUCUUGACAUCCUUUGACAACUCUAGAGAUAGAGCCUUCCCCUUCGGGGGACAAAGUGACAGGUGGUGCAUGGUUGUCGUCAGCUCGUGUCGUGAGAUGUUGGGUUAAGUCCCGCAACGAGCGCAACCCUUAAGCUUAGUUGCCAUCAUUAAGUUGGGCACUCUAAGUUGACUGCCGGUGACAAACCGGAGGAAGGUGGGGAUGACGUCAAAUCAUCAUGCCCCUUAUGAUUUGGGCUACACACGUGCUACAAUGGACAAUACAAAGGGCAGCGAAACCGCGAGGUCAAGCAAAUCCCAUAAAGUUGUUCUCAGUUCGGAUUGUAGUCUGCAACUCGACUACAUGAAGCUGGAAUCGCUAGUAAUCGUAGAUCAGCAUGCUACGGUGAAUACGUUCCCGGGUCU